rnacentral:rRNA from 1 species
UACGGAGGAGGCAAGCGUUAUCCGGAAUUAUUGGGCGUAAAGCGUCCGCAGGUGGCACCUCAAGUCUGCUGUCAAAGACCGGGGCUUAACCCCAGAAAGGCAGUGGAAACUGAAGUGCUAGAGUGCAGUAGGGGUAGAGGGAAUUCCCGGUGUAGCGGUGAAAUGCGUAGAUAUCGUAAGGAAGACCAGUGGCGAAGGCGGGUCUCUGGACAGUUCCUGACGCUGAGGCACGAAGGUCAGGGGAGCAAACGGG